ACUUCGUACACAAGGACAGGGGCUUUCCGAUUACUUUCGAAUAACUAACUUCUAAAUGUGGACCGUGUGAGCUGGACUUCUGAGAAUUCGGGCCAAACACGAAGCAACCAGGUCACCUCCCAGCCAUGACGUGGAAAGCUAGCAUCUCAACCUGUGAGGCCAGGGAGCAGGCAUCCUUCCUGAAGUCCCUUAAGUAAAGCCUUGGCAAUCAGCCUGCACGCGCACACGUUGAUGAUGUCCUGGCAUCCUUUCCGCCGAGUGUGCAACGUGGAUUCGCGGAUAACGACCGGAUGACUUUCUUGGAACGGGAGGCAAGGGAGCCCGUCCACAGCCCGCCGCUUCUUUGGAGCGAAUAUUCAGCUUCGAGGGAAGAUUUCUCAUGAGGAGUGCGAGAUACUUCGGUAUGUAUUAUCAUAUUUGAGAUACUCUAAAAAGUAUCUCAAAUAUGAUAAUACAUAAAGGAAAACAAUGCUGUAAUGACGGUGGUGUACAGAUACAGAGACAUACAUAUCUGGAGUAUAGAGUAAGACAUUUUCCACAGCAAUAUAAAUAAUAAUUCGGGGCUUUACGUCGCGAGACAACAGCGUUCAUGAUCGACGCCACAGUGGUCAGGUCUGUGGAUUAAUUUUGCCGACUUGAGGGUUCUUUAACGUGCGCCGAAAUCUCGACACACGGCACACCCUCACACGUCCCUCGCGGAAGACGGCGUGUCUGGGCAACUUGUACCCUUCCACCAAGUUGAGACCGUCCUCGGACGGGUUCGAACCCGCGAUCUUGGGAUCAGCAGGCGGACACGCUAUCGACUGAGCUACCGAGGGCGGCCAUUUCGCAGAGUAGGCUUUGGGAUAUAUUUGAGCCUGACCAAUCAUAACCACAUAUAUUUAACAACAAGUUCACGUUACAUUAAUAAUUUUCUGGUCACUCCUAAUAGCCGCUGCCGUUGCCACUUUAAGGGUUAUGCCACGUAAUUUCUUCGUUUCGCCUUGUAUAAUUCUAUGUCCGCCGCUGCACUUGAUAUGGAACCGAUAGCUGAGAAUAAUCGUGUAAACUCAGUGAUAUAUAACAGCAAAGUUAUCUAAUCGCCAUAGAUACAGGAACUCCCGUAUGCAAGGAGAGCAUGCACGCACGCUGGGCUGAGUAGAUUGCUAUCGACAGAGUGAAAAAAUGCACGAAAUGUAGUGCUAUGAUAUUGGAAGAAAAGCUGAGUAGAAACACUAACACGCAGGACUAUUCCAGGCAGAGCACAAAUGCUCUCUAGGAACAGUACUGGGUACGUACUGAGCGAGACAACAAGCUACUAACAAGCGGAUGUAAGAUACAUUGCCUUAAGUACCGUACUCAAGAUGCCACUCUGCAUGUUUCAUGGUUAGGCAAUAGAACACGCGUAUAUGUAAAGAUAUGAUGAUGGCGUGGGAGUGUUGUUCAUCAUCAGGGCUGACCUCUGAGCCGUCAUCUUCCGAAUACUCAGGGAGAUGACUGCGAUUAGACUAGAUUAAUAAAUUACUGUUGGGUCGUGAUACAAGUCUUUGUCAGUAAGAGUCACAC